UGAUGGUACCUUGCUACUUGGAUAACCGUAGUAAUUCUAGAGCUAAUACAUGCAGGAAUUCCCGACUUCGGAAGGGAUGUAUUUAUUAGAUAAGAAACCAAACCGGUCUCCGGUUGUGUGCUGAGUCAUAAUAACUGCUCGAAUCGCACAGCUCUACGCUGGCGAUGGUUCAUUCAAAUUUCUGCCCUAUCAGCUUUCGAUGGUAGGAUAGAGGCCUACCAUGGCGUUAACGGGUAACGGAGAAUUAGGGUUCGAUUCCGGAGAGGGAGCCUGAGAAAUGGCUACCACAUCCAAGGAAGGCAGCAGGCGCGUAAAUUGCCCGAAUCCUGACACAGGGAGGUAGUGACAAGAAAUAACAAUACAGGGCUCUCUGAGUCUUGUAAUUGGAAUGAGUACAAUUUACAUCUCUUCACGAGGAUCAAUUGGAGGGCAAGUCUGGUGCCAGCAGCCGCGGUAAUUCCAGCUCCAAUAGCGUAUAUUAAAGUUGUUGCAGUUAAAACGCUCGUAGUCGGAUUUCGGGGCGGGGCCGCCGGUCUGCCGAUAGGUAUGCACUGGCGGGCGCGUCCUUUUUCCCGGAGACGGCUGCUACUCUUAACUGAGCGGUGGUCGGAGACGGGAUGUUUACUUUGAAAAAAUCAGAGUGUUUCAAGCAGGCAGUCGCUCUUGCAUGGAUUAGCAUGGGAUAAUGAAAUAGGACUCUGGUGCUAAUUUGUUGGUUUCGAGCACC
rnacentral:rRNA from 1 species